UGAAACAGUGGGAACCGGUUCUCAACAAGAACCGGUUUUCGAUACCCAUCCCUAGUCUUGCUACAUUAGUGCUGUGUGGACGAUCUUCCAUAGUCCAUAUGAUUGCCUCCUCCCUAACAUCAAAGAGACUACACUUAGGCAUUUUGAAAUGUGGAGCUGUCACAGAAGGCACAACAUAGGCACUGAAAAAAUGCAUCAAAUGCACAGGUAUAUUGAGCACAGAGAUUGUCGAUUCCACUAAUCUAAUAGGCUGAUGGAGGUUUCCAUUUUUUAAUAAUCCCACUUUCACUCUUUUGGCCCCAAAAGUUUCAUCUGCAUGGAGCCAUUCGGUACAUGAAGAGAGGUAGGAAGUCCUCUUCCUUUUUUUGGGUGGAACAGCUAGGCCCCUCCAGUUCUCAACUGCAUCCCCAUCAGCUGGAAGAAUGUUUGUGGCAGCAUCAGAUCCCACAAACGGAACAAAUCCGCAUAUUUCCCUCGAUGAAGGAAAGAUGACGAGCAAUGAAGCGAUCGACUCGAACAGGCAAGUUUUCAUGUUUGAAAAGGCCAUGUUUUAUGUUUUUGAAUUCAGCUUCAACAGUGGCUGAACUUGCUGUGAUGCUGGUGCUUUGGAAGAGAGGGACCAUUAUUCCUGUCCAGAGUGGCAAGUAACUUGCCAGUCUUAUUAUAUGAGGAAUAAUCUCAGGGAGAAAGUGAAUAUUAUCUCUAUCCCCGUUUGCUGCAGCAAGUGACCUGCGCUCCUCACAUAUUUCUGUUAUCCACUGUCGUAGGUCAGUCUGGAUCUCAUCCACUGAAUCCACUGUCUCACUUUCCUCCGUCUGUUCAUCUGGAAUGAUGAUGGAGUCUUGAGCAAUUUGGGCUUUCAAGUAUUUCUUGCACCUUUCUGAAGGAAGAGGGGCUCCAGAACUGUCAUCACCUUCUGCCUCACUGAGGGCCACAACAGUGAUAGCACGCAGUCCCACUGGCAUAUCAUCUUGAUGCAGUGCGCAACAUCAACCCUGAUAAAACAAGGGGGGAGUUUGGCAGACUGGGUUCCAAGAAGGACAUUCAUUAAGAGUGGCCAAAUUUGGAAGGUGGCUUGGCUCAGGAUCUCCAACAUCCAUCAGAUCUGCUGCCCUCGCUGACCUCCAUACAGCUGGUUCCAUUCUGCCCUCACACAGCUCUUUAGCGAUCUGUUCACGCAGGUUUCCAGACAUGAACCUCUUGGAGUGGCCAGUGUGCAGGGAGAGAUCUGUAUUUCUCAUGAAACACUGGAGCACCAUUGGACUAUUAAUUGCUGCUGUCACAUGACAUUUCUAACUGGCCAUGACACUCCUUACAGUCGCCUCUGAUGUCCAGAUAAUUAUUGUUGACAGUUGGAUGGACCUUUGCUCUACGGAACACAAGUGUACAUGUAUUUUUGAUCUUC